GCUCGGGGUCCCUCCCGACCCCCCAGCAUCCCGGGCCCCUGCCCGCCCCCCGCGACGCCGCCGGCCUCAGGUGUGACAGGGCCUUGGAUCUAUAGACAAGCUUCUUGUUCACCAGGAGCACCCCUGCAAUGUGCAUUUUCGUGUCAAAGCCACAUCGUUGCCUUUGUAAUGAAUCAGCACUUACACCUGUACUAGGCAAUCAUGCAGUUGGCACCCCAAAAGAAAGACCCAGAGAGAGAGAGGCGGAGACCCAGGCAGAGGGAAAAGCACGCGGGACUCCAUCCCGGGUCUCCAGGAUCAGGCCCUGGGCUGCAGGUGGCGCUAAACCACUGAGCCCCCGGAGCUGCCCGGUUCAUCAUGUUUUGCGUUUGUGGUGCUCCGUCCUUGAAUAGGACAUUUCAUACCACUCUGCCACAAACAUUUAAUGUCCUUUGAAUUCUGAAAAUUCUGAUCUAAAAAUAUUUGCAACAAUUUGAAGGACUUUGAAUUUGUGAAAUUGUGAAAUAAAGUUGAAACAGUAGAAAAGUUUAUUCGGAGGGGAUUGACCUCUGCGCAUGUGUUUGAGUUAAAAUAAUGAUGAAAAAGUAAACUUCGUCUAUUU